rnacentral:rRNA from 1 species
AUACGGAGGGUGCGAGCGUUAAUCGGAAUUACUGGGCGUAAAGCGUACGUAGGCGGUUGGUUAAGUUAGAUGUGAAAGCCCCGGGCUUAACCUGGGAACUGCAUUUAAAACUGACGAACUAGAGUUGAGUAGAGGGGAGUGGAAUUUCAGGAGUAGCGGUGAAAUGCGUAGAGAUCUGAAGGAACACCAGUGGCGAAGGCGACUCCCUGGACUUGAACUGACGCUGAGGUACGAAAGCGUGGGUAGCAAACGGGAUUAGAAACCCCAGUAGUCC